rnacentral:rRNA from 1 species
CUACGUGCCAGCAGCCGCGGUAAUACGUAGGUGGCAAGCGUUGUCCGGAAUUAUUGGGCGUAAAGCGCGCGCAGGCGGAUUGGUCAGUCUGUCUUAAAAGUUCGGGGCUUAACCCCGUGAUGGGAUGGAAACUGCCAAUCUAGAGUAUCGGAGAGGAAAGUGGAAUUCCUAGUGUAGCGGUGAAAUGCGUAGAUAUUAGGAAGAACACCAGUGGCGAAGGCGACUUUCUGGACGAAAACUGACGCUGAGGCGCGAAAGCCAGGGGAGCGAACGGGAUUAGAUACCCCGGUAGUCCUGGCCGUAAACGAUGGGUACUAGGUGUAGGAGGUAUCGACCCCUUCUGUGCCGGAGUUAACGCAAUAAGUACCCCGCCUGGGGAGUACGACCGCAAGGUUGAAACUCAAAGGAAUUGACGGGGGCCCGCACAAGUGGUGGAGUAUGUGGUUUAAUUCGACGCAACGCGAAGAACCUUACCAGGUCUUGACAUUGAUGGACAGAACUAGAGAUAG